UGAGAUAGGUACGCUACUCUAGCGCGAGAGGGCGCGAUUUUCGUGUCAUCAUUUUCGCGUACGAAAAUGGCGACAAGCUGCUUCGGGGGCCGGUGCGAGCAAUAACGGCAAGCCCUAUUUGAGUCUCCUGUCUAGGAUAGUAAACGUAUAUCAAUGGGAAUGAAAACGAUGACAUCAUCUUCCCAAUGUAUUCAGCUAUACUGUACGGUGAGCUCCUGCGACGGAGGAUCGAGAUCGGAACAAAAAUUGCACUAAAACAGUCUAUUAAUUUCUUAUCUCCAUUUGAACAUGGCAAUACUUACUGAUCUGAAGCCUGGAAGUCGAGGGGCCCAACAAUGAACAGACUGGGGCUGAGCCGUCGAAUAUCUGUGGUUCCAAGA